rnacentral:rRNA from 1 species
AUGUCGUACCAUCAAACUAAAGGAGGAGCUCACCCUAGAAUAGGGAGAGGUGCUGAUCUUCGAGGCCACCAUCAGCUGUCAACCGCAGACGACCUCCUCACCGAACCGGGCAAAGCAUGUUGGUCGCAUAUCAUCUACUCACGACAAACCAAAAAGAAAGGGGACAAACUUUUGGCACUGGAACAAUGGAUUAGAAGGCACAAAAAAUUAAAAGGAAUGAUUAGCAUCACGAGUGAGGCUAACCGUCAUUGUGAAGGUACAUGUACACCACGUGUCGUCGCAACAAUACUAUUAGAGCCCCUCUCUCCAAAGAUCAAGGGUGGCGGCUCAUCGGCGGGCAUAAGGACACAUACAACUGAGCACCAGAACAGAUGA